rnacentral:rRNA from 1 species
AUUUAACGCUGGCGGCAGGCUUAACACAUGCAAGUCGAGCGGGGAAUGGUUGCUUCGGUAACUGACCUAGCGGCGGACGGGUGAGUAAUGCUUAGGAAUCUGCCUAUGAGUGGGGGUCACCGCUUCGAAAGGAACGCUAAUACCGCAUACGUCAAAAAAGAGAAAGCAGGGGAUCUUUGGACCUUGCGCUAAUAGAUGAGCCUAAGUCGGAUUAGCUAGUUGGUGGGGUAAAGGCCUACCAAGGCGACGAUCUGUAGCGGGUCUGAGAGGAUGAUCCGCCACACUGGGACUGAGACACGGCCCAGACUCCUACGGGAGGCAGCAGUGGGGAAUAUUGGACAAUGGGCGGAAGCCUGAUCCAGCCAUGCCGCGUGUGUGAUUUGAGGGUUUUGGUUGUAAAGCACUUUAAGCGAGGAGGAGGAGCUUCAGGUUAAUACCCUGGAUGCUUGGACGUUUCUUACGGAAUAAGCACCGGCUAACUCUGUG